UUUGGAGCCCUGGAAAUUGAGGUCCUCUCUUUCUCCACAGGAGUGGCAUAGCAUGGGCGGUGGCAGCCAUGCAAGCUUCCUUCCACUGCCAUGCCAAUGAGUCUCCACCCCCUGAUGAAGAGAGCACUUCUGGAGGUGAGUGGGAAGGAGUCCAGCCUCUGGGCGGAGGGAUCUCAGGAAAGA
rnacentral:sRNA from 1 species